CCUACGGGGGGCUGCAGUGGGGAAUAUUGGACAAUGGGGGCAACCCUGAUCCAGCCAUGCCGCGUGUGUGAAGAAGGCCCUCGGGUUGUAAAGCACUUUCAGUGAGGAAGAACGCCUGGUGGUUAAUACCCAUCAGGAAAGACAUCACUCACAGAAGAAGCACCGGCUAACUCCGUGCCAGCAGCCGCGGUAAUACGGAGGGUGCGAGCGUUAAUCGGAAUUACUGGGCGUAAAGCUCGCGUAGGUGGCUUGAUAAGCCGGUUGUGAAAGCCCCGGGCUCAACCUGGGAACGGCAUCCGGAACUGUCAAGCUAGAGUGCAGGAGAGGAAGGUAGAAUUCCCGGUGUAGCGGUGAAAUGCGUAGAGAUCGGGAGGAAUACCAGUGGCGAAGGCGGCCUUCUGGACUGACACUGACACUGAGGUGCGAAAGCGUGGGUAGCAAACAGGAUUAGAUACCCCAGUAGUC
rnacentral:rRNA from 1 species